rnacentral:sRNA from 1 species
AGCGGAUUUUCCGAUCCAGCGCCUGUAGCGACGCAUCAGAACCGCUCCAGCGCAUGCCUGUCGUGA